rnacentral:lncRNA from 1 species
CACCAACCACCACCACCACCAAAAACUGACUCACAGUUCCGCAUGACUGGGGAGGCCUCAGGAAAUUUACAAUCAUGGUGGAAGGGGAAGCAAACACUUCCUUCUUCACAUGAUGGCAGGAAGGAGAAGUGUGGAGCAAAGGGGAAAAGCCCCUUACAAAACCAUCAGAUCUCAUGAGAACUCACUAACAUGAGAACAGCAUGAGGCGAACUGCCCCCAUGAUUUAAUUACCUCCCACCGGGUCCCUUCCACAACAUGUGGGGAUCAUGAGAACUACAAUUCAAGACGAGAUUUCAGUGGGGACACAGCCAAACCACAUCACCUGGUGACACUGCUUUUGGUCAAUUGUUAAUUGUCCUACAGUCAGAGCCCUUCCUGGGAGUGCCUGGGGGCAAUUGCACCUUCCUACUGAACCUGACGGAUCAGGUAGGGUGGGGAAGGGUCUAAUCUAGGGAUUAGGGGUUCUAAAAGAUACCCACAGGAGAGUCAGGCAGUGUCAUUCAGAUGUGGGCCUGGAGGAAAGGGACAGGGAGUGGUGGGCACUGAGGACCAUGGCCACGCUCAGUCCCACCCACAGAAGCUGGUUACUUCUCAGGCCCUACUGGCUGGUGCCCUGCAAACCAGGGGCCUUGUGUUGCCAGAACUUCUGAUUUUUCAGAUUUUAUUUAUUAUUAGAGACAGGGUUUCAAUCUGUUGCCCAGGCUGGAGUGGAGUGGUGCUAUCAUAGCUCACUGCAGCCUCAACCUCCUGGGCUCAAGCAAUCCUCCCACCUUGUUUUCCCAAAGUGCUGGGAUUACAGGUGUGACCCGCCUCGGCCCCCCAGAGUGCUUAAUUUAUAGGUGUGAGACCCCGCAUUAGAACCUGAUUUUUCAAUUUUAUUUUUUAAACAAGAAUGGGACUCCUUAUUUUAAAAUGUUAUUAACUUUAAGACAUUUUAAGACACCAAGAGCCAAGCGACAUCACUGUGAGGGUCUGAUUCAAGGGGUUGGGGCUGCACCCCUCUGUGGGACUAAGGUUUGAGUCCUCCUCUAUCUUAUUAUUAUUUUGAGACAGAGUCUCACCUUGUCGCCCAGGCUGGCGUGCAGUGGUGUGAUCUCGGCUCACUGCACCCUCUGCCUCCCGGCUUCAAACGAUUCUCCUGCCUCAGCCUCCCAAGCAGCUGGGACUACAGGGGUGCGCUACCACGGCCGGCUAAUUUUUGUAUUUUUAGUAGAGAUGGGGUUUCACCCACCAUGUUAGCCAAGCUAGUCUCGAACUCCUGACCUCGUGAUCCGCCCGCCAAGACCUCCCAAAGUGCUAGGAUUACAGACACCGUGCCUGGCCGAGUCCUCCUCUAUCUCUUGCCCAGUCAGGCCUGGGGUCCCCACAGAAAAGCACCAAGAACAGUGGUGCAGGCGGGCUGGGAGCUGGGGAAGGGGCCCAGGCCACACCAUUCCAGGCGGAAGACAGACCCUGGACUCCACCAAUGCCAGAGCUCAUCCUGACACCCCAGCUGCACCUCUUGGGAGCAGGUGCAGACAGGCUUGUGGGUGGGGGUCUGGGGGUGGCCGCUGAGCUCACCGACCCCUCCCUGGGUUCCUGGGGUCGCCUGUCACUUCUGCCCCCACACUGGCCAUGCCCUCUGCCUGGACAUCGCUUCCCUGCCCGUGACCCCAUGUCCCUCCAAGUGCGGGCUCCACAACCCCAGUCUCCUCCUGCACUCAACCGCCACAGUCCACCCAUAAGACGUUCACCCCGC